rnacentral:lncRNA from 1 species
UCACUUCUGCCCACAGUUGAUAGCUCAUCCACUAUUCUUCAUUGUCAUAAUCACCCACUUGACCUUUGGCCGUGAGGACAUUUCCUACUCGUAUAAUCGUAUUACUUGUAAUACCAAACACGCAUUGUAAUAUUAGAAUGAGGAGAAAGCUAUGACAUUGAACAGCUACAGCGGUAAAGCAUCCUGAAAGCAUUUGGACAUUUUUAUAAUCAAGCACACACAAAAUCUGGAAUUAAGCUCAACAAGUCUUGAUAGAUGUUAUUGUUUUGUUUAUAAUCUUGCAUUGAAUUAUUAUGUCGAAGUCUAGGUUGACGUAAUGACCUUGCACCUAACUCAUCAUCAAUACAAA